rnacentral:tRNA from 1 species
AGCCUUAUAGUUUAGGAGAAUACCAGACUGCAAAUUUGGAGGGGGGGGGGACCUCUAAGGCUU